CGGUUAAGUUAGAAAGGGCGCACGGUGGAUGCCUUGGCACUAGGAGCCGAUGAAGGACGGGACGAACACCGAUAUGCUUCGGGGAGCUGUAAGCAAGCUUUGAUCCGGAGAUUUCCGAAUGGGGAAACCCACCACUCGUAAUGGAGUGGUAUCCAUAUCUGAAUUCAUAGGAUAUGAGAAGGCAGACCCGGGGAACUGAAACAUCUAAGUACCCGGAGGAAGAGAAAG
rnacentral:rRNA from 1 species